CACGUAGGGCGCAAGCGUUGUCCGGAAUUAUUGGGCGUAAAGAGCUCGUAGGCGGUCUGUCGCGUCGGCUGUGAAAUCCCGAGGCUCAACCUCGGGUCUGCAGUCGAUACGGGCAAACUAGAGUAUUGCAGGGGAGACUGGAAUUCCUGGUGUAGCGGUGAAAUGCGCAGAUAUCAGGAGGAACACCGGUGGCGAAGGCGGGUCUCUGGGCCGUAACUGACGCUGAGGAGCGAAAGCAUGGGGAGCGAACAGG
rnacentral:rRNA from 1 species